rnacentral:rRNA from 1 species
CCUACGGGAUGCAGCAGUGAGGAAUAUUGGUCAAUGGACGAGAGUCUGAACCAGCCAAGUAGCGUGAAGGAUGACUGCCCUAUGGGUUGUAAACUUCUUUUAUAUGGGAAUAAAACGUUCCACGUGUGGGAUUUUGUAUGUACCAUAUGAAUAAGGAUCGGCUAACUCCGUGCCAGCAGCCGCGGUAAUACGGAGGAUCCGAGCGUUAUCCGGAUUUAUUGGGUUUAAAGGGAGCGUAGGUGGAUCGUUAAGUCAGUUGUGAAAGUUGGGGGCUUAACCGUAAAACUGCAGUUGAAACUGGCAGACUUGAGUACGGGAGAGGUGAGCGGAAUUCGUGGUGUAGCGGUGAAAUGCUUAGAUAUUAGGAAGAACUCCGAUGGCGAAGGCAGUUUACUGGACCGUAACUGACGCUGAGGCUCGAAAGUGUGGGGAGCAAACAGGAUUAGAUACCCCGGUAGUC